GGACUACCAGGGUUUCUAAUCCCGUUUGCUCCCCUGGCUUUCGCGCCUCAGCGUCAGAAGAGGUCCAGCGUGCCGCCUUCGCCACCGGAGUUCCAGAUGAUAUCAACGCAUUUCACCGCUCCACCAUCUGUUCCGCACGCCCCUACCUCCCUCGAGACACGCAGUAUCCACGGCAGUUCCCCGGUUGGGCCGGGGGAUUUCACCACAGACUUACAUGCCCGCCUACGCGCCCUUUAAGCCCAGUGAUUCCGAACAACGUUCGCACGGUUCGUCUUACCGCGGCUGCUGGCAC
rnacentral:rRNA from 1 species